GGGGAUGUAGCUCAAUGGCAGAGCACCUGCCUGGCAUGCUCAAGACCCUGGGUUCCAUUCCCAGCAUCACAC
rnacentral:tRNA from 1 species